UACGAAGGGUGCAAGCGUUACUCGGAAUUACUGGGCGUAAAGCGUGCGCAGGCGGUUUUUUAAGACAGGCGUGAAAUCCCCCGGGCUUAACCUGGGAACUGCGCUUGUGACUGGAAGGCUAGAGUACGGCAGAGGGGGGGUGGAAUUCCACGUGUAGCAGUGAAAUGCGUAGAGAUGUGGAGGAACACCGAUGGCGAAGGCGGCGACCUGGGUUGACACUGACGCUGAGGCGCGAAAGCGUGGGGAGCAAACAGG
rnacentral:rRNA from 1 species